GCAAGUCGAACGGGAAUCUUCGGAUUCUAGUGGCGGACGGGUGAGUAACGCGUAAGAAUCUAACUUCAGGACGGGGACAACAGUUGGAAACGACUGCUAAUACCCGAUGUGCCGAAAGGUGAAACCUAAUUGGCCUGGAGAAGAGCUUGCGUCUGAUUAGCUAGUUGGUGGGGUAAAGGCCUACCAAGACGACGAUCAGUAGCUGGUCUGAGAGGAUGAGCAGCCACACUGGGACUGAGACACGGCCCAGACUCCUACGGGAGGCAGCAGUGGGGAAUUUUCCGCAAUGGGCGAAAGCCUGACGGAGCAACGCCGCGUGAGGGAGGAAGGUCUUUGGAUUGUAAACCUCUUUUCUCAAGGAAGAAGUUCUGACGGUACUUGAGGAAUCAGCCUCGGCUAACUCCGUGCCAGCAGCCGCGGUAAUACGGGGGAGGCAAGCGUUAUCCGGAAUUAUUGGGCGUAAAGCGUCCGCAGGUGGUCAGCCAAGUCUGCCGUCAAAUCAGGUUGCUUAACGACCUAAAGGCGGUGGAAACUGGCAGACUAGAGAGCAGUAGGGGUAGCAGGAAUUCCCAGUGUAGCGGUGAAAUGCGUAGAGAUUGGGAAGAACAUCGGUGGCGAAAGCGUGCUACUGGGCUGUAUCUGACACUCAGGGGCGAAAGCUAGGGGAGCGAAAGGGAUUAGAUACCCCUGUAGUCCUAGCCGUAAACGAUGGAUACUAGGCGUGGCUUGU
rnacentral:rRNA from 1 species